CUGGCUGAUUAACACAUUCAUGCUGACAGAGAAAUUCUGAGAAGCUGCAUUCAUCCAUAUCUGCAAAUGUUGAGUAUCUCCAGCACUGUAGCAAAGUUUUACACCAUUGGUUGCCUUCUAUAUCACCUGUUGGUUAGCAAAAUUUAACCAACUUUAAUCAAAAGUAGCCAACUUUUGAUAAAGGUUUAUAUCCCCAUCCUAAUUCAUGACAUGCAAGCAGGGAUCAAUCUGUCUGACAUGUUCACCGAAGCACAGAUCAUUUUUUGCAGCUAUUGCAAAUCUUCUGUGAGGAGGUUUGACUGGUGAUGAGCAAAAUUUGAGCUUCUGAUAUGCAUGACACAGCUCAGCUGAGAAAUGAAC